rnacentral:rRNA from 1 species
UACAGAGGGUGCGAGCGUUAAUCGGAAUUACUGGGCGUAAAGCGUGCGUAGACGGUCAAGUAAGUCGGGUGUGAAAGCCCCGGGCUCAACCUGGGAAUUGCAUUCGAGACUGCGUGGCUAGGGUGCGGAAGAGGGAAGCGGAAUUUCCGGUGUAGCGGUGAAAUGCGUAGAUAUCUGGAGGAACACCGGUGGCGAAGGCGGCCUGCUGGGCAGUUGCUGACACUGAGGCGCGACAGCGUGGGGAGCAAACAGG